UGAGACACGGCCCAAACUCCUACGGGAGGCAGCAGUAGGGAAUUUUCGGCAAUGGAGGAAACUCUGACCGAGCAACGCCGCGUGAACGAUGAAGUAUUUCGGUACGUAAAGUUCUUUUAUUNGGGAAGAAUAAAUGAUGGAAAAAUCAUUCUGACGGUACCUAAUGAAUAAGCCCCGGCUAACUAUGUGCCAGCAGCCGCGGUAAUACAUAGGGGGCAAGCGUUAUCCGGAAUUAUUGGGCGUAAAGGGUGCGUAGGCGGUUAAAUAAGUUUAUGGUCUAAGUGCAAUGCUUAACAUUGUGAUGCUAUAAAAACUGUUUANCUAGAGUAAGAUAGAGGCAAGUGGAAUUCCAUGUGUAGUGGUAAAAUGCGUAAAUAUAUGGAGGAACACCAGUAGCGAAGGCGGCUUGCUGGGUCUUUACUGACGCUGAGGCACGAAAGCGUGGGGAGCAAACAGGAUUAGAUACCCUGGUAGUCCACGCCGUAAACGAUGAGUACUAAAUGUUGGGUAAAACCAGUGUUGAAGUUAACACAUUAAGUACUCCGCCUGAGUAGUACGUACGCAAGUAUGAAACUUAAAGGAAUUGACGGGACUCCGCACAAGCGGUGGAUCAUGUUGUUUAAUUCGAAGGUACCCGAAAAACCUCACCAGGUCUUGACAUGCUUCUGCAAAGCUGUAGAAACACAGUGGAGGUUAUCAGUUGCACAGGUGGUGCAUGGUUGUCGUCAGCUCGUGUCGUGAGAUGUUGGGUUAAGUCCCGCAACGAGCGCAACCCUUAUUGUUAGUUGCCAGCACGUAAUGGUGGGGACUUUAGCAAGACUGCCAGUGAUAAAUUGGAGGAAGGUGGGGACGACGUCAAAUCAUCAUGCCCCUUAUGACCUGGGCUACAAACGUGAUACAAUGGC
rnacentral:rRNA from 1 species